rnacentral:rRNA from 1 species
UACGGAGGGGGCUAGCGUUGUUCGGAAUUACUGGGCGUAAAGCGCGCGGAGGCGGACGUGCAAGUCGGGGGUGAAAGCCCGAGGCUCAACCUCGGAACUGCCUUCGAUACUGCGGGUCUCGAGUCCGGGAGAGGUGAGUGGAAUUCCUAGUGUAGAGGUGAAAUUCGUAGAUAUUAGGAAGUACACCAGUGGCGAAGGCGGCUCACUGGCCCGGUACUGACGCUGAGUGGCGAAAGCGGGGGGAGCAAGCAGG